rnacentral:pre_miRNA from 1 species
CGCUAGUGGUUUUGAGUUUUUGUUUGUAACGUUUGAUCACUCGUCUUAUUUAAUUUGUUUUGAAAUUAUUAUUUAGUUUAUUUGUGACUUACUUUAUUAUCUACAAUACUUUAAGUAUAACUUUUCGUUUUUUAUAUUUGCAAAAAUAAUUUGAAUAAGACGAGUGAUCAAACGUUACAAACAAAAACUCAAAAUCCCUUAUA